UGAGAGCCUCGUCAUUAGUACCCUGACCACAUGGCUCACACAGUCCAGUUUCGAAAUUGACCUUUGUGACUGGUUUCUUCAGCAGUCUUUCACCAAUUCCCACAAGACUCUCGAGGUUCUUUUUGGUGGCAACAUCAACUGAAGCCUCGUCUCCAGUUAGUGUAUCAUCCUGGAUGCGAAGAUAACCGUUUUCAGAAUGAAGGGCUUUAAAAGCAGUGGAAAUGUGAAAGUCCGUCAUGUCGCUGCUUGAUUGCAUGAACACAUCCACCAAUGGAGUCGAACUUUCACUCGACAACCAACCCAACACACCCCACUUAGCUGCUUUAAGGGCGUCGUACUUCACUUCGGUUUUUGGCGCACCAGUCCCUAACGAUAUCACCAGAAACCGAGUGUAAUCCAUUGCGUUGAUUGCAUAGUAGUCAGAACUUCCCCGAUUGAUUUCUUUGGUUACCUCGUUCAAAGCAACUAGAGUCUGAAAAAUUAUACAUAUAUUAUAUAAGUUUUCCGUCAUUGGAGAAUUUUUCAAUAAUUAAUUAAUAAAGAUCGAUCGAAAUAUAUAAUUAUACCGGAUUGUUAGCGGCAACGCCACCGUCAAUGAGAUCAAAACGUCUCACUGUUCCUGUGGAAUCUUUGGUUUCAAACGAAUGGGCUGGAAGAUAAGUAGGGGCGGCUGAAGUUGCAACGCAGAUAUCGGAGAGUGAGGCAUCUAGGCUGGGAUUUUGCUUCAUCUGAUAAUUAAAUCACGCGGAACACAUGCAAUCAAGUUAGAGCUUAAUUAUUUUAAUGCUUUUUGUUUUUGGAGAGAUAUUGGUGAAGUUUUAUGUAUGGACCUCGCAGCUGGAGAAGAUAGUUGGCUGGAGUUUCUUGAUGUCAAAAGUUGGAAUCACAACGUUUGUCAACGUCUCGUGCAGCUUUUUAUCUCCUAAUUUUUCCUUCACGAGGUGAUGUAGAUAUUUGCCAUCAUAUUUUGGCCCAGUGAGAGACUUAAUCAGCUUUGUAGCAGGACCAAAGGGGCCACUGUAAUACAUACAAUAAGAAAAUAUAUCAAUCGAAAUCAAUUUUUUUUUUCUUUUUUCUUUUUCCUUUUCCCCCCUUCUCUUUGCCACACAUGUAUAUCAAGAUUGUUACCUAGAUUGGGGAAAGAUUUUAGGGCAGUGAUUCAGAUAAAAUUCCUUGAUAUCCUUAGCAGCAAACAGGGGGCGGUUUUGCUCAUUUGGGGCCGUUAGCAUAGCGGUCACAAGACCACCGGUGCUCGUUCCGGAAAUCACAUCAAAAUAGUCUGCAAUUCUUGCUUCCUCUCCGUCAAGUUUCUGUUCAAAUUUCCGACCAAAAAUCAUUAUUACUCUACUCUAUAAAUCUAUACAUCCCAAAUUUCUUAAUCCAAAAGGCUAUCCCAAAUGAUGUGACAAUCAUUAAUUGGUUAGUAGGAAUAAUAUAAUUAAUUUACUUAAAUUUUAUAAAGAAUUACUAGUCAAUCAAUGAAUGAUACGUCAUUCAGGAUAAAAAAUUUGAGAUGUAUGUCAUUUCUCUUAUCUCUUAAGUAAUGAUGCAUGAAACCAUAUAUAAUAUGCAUGCAUGCUUAUGUUGUGACAACGUAAUACAUACUAAAUCUAUUGAUACUACCUGAAGCUCGGACUCUAAGAAGGCAAGGAUAGUCGCAGGGAUGAUUCCUCUAAUUCCACCUCCAUCGAUGCUAAGAAUGGUGACAAGGUUACCAAAAGUUGGAGGCUGUAUGGGUGAUCUCGGAGUUUGGAUUUCCAUUAGAAAAACUAACAAGGUAAUUCAAAAAGGAUCCAGGGAUAUAUGGAUUAAGAAAGCGGGAGAUUGUUCAGUUAAUUGAAGUUUUUGGAGCCUUGAACUUGAGUGUCUCUGCUGAAAUGAUGUUGUAGUAGUACGAAUCCUUAAGGAAAUGCAUGCGCGGUAUUUAUAGACCUCUGCUUCGCGCAAAAUUAAUUUAGUUUGAAUGUUCAAAAUUAUCCAAGAGAUUUCUCUAGUCUAACAUUUUGACCCAGUAUGCGCAGCUUCUCGGAUGGCUUCACAUUGAUCCAAAUUCUUUCGGUUGCCUGGACAUGGAUUGAGUUGGACCACAUAUUUUUGCCCAAGAGGGCAAUUGAAAAUUUACAUGUAGAGAAGUACAAUAUAUGUUAAUAGACGGUUAAAAGCAUCAUGUUGAAUAGGUAAAAAAUAAAUCAUUUAGCCGUGGGUCUGGGUUCCAAAUAACUAGUGGAUGAUGAAUUUGAGAAUAUCCCAGUUACAAUUAAUCUGCAGGCAGUUGCAUUAACAUGACUAUGAAAGAAUCAAAGCAACGACAAGAAGUAACUGUCUGAAAUGUCAUCCAGUUAAGAAGACCAAUUAUAUGUUGAUAAGUUGACGUGCAAGUGAGUUGCCUUUCGCUUAUCUUGCCUUUUUCUUCAUUUUUUUUUUCAAUUUGUAAUCUCUAAGUUCGGAUCGUUUGCAAUGAGCCUGGCAUAUCGAAUUGAGGCAAGGUAAUGUCAAUCAUUGACCUUAUAUUUUUGUUCUAUUUUCUUCGCCAUUGCGUGAUCAUGCAUGACUGUUACAGCUCUUCAAAAAUUACUACGAGUGCGAUUUUCGAGCAGCCAUGGGCGCGCGGAUAAUCUUAUAUUAAUCAUUGUUUUAUCACGUGAAUUGCAUGGCCAGCGUUUAGGAGUUAUCGGGCCGCCGCCAGUUCGGUAGUUAUCCUCUCAUAAACGUCUGCGAAGAAAUAAAUUGCUUAACAAUAAUAAUAUAAUAUAAUCAUAAAUUAUCAUACAAUCUCUUUCCUAUAAAUUAAAAAUCAUGCAUUUAUUCAUAUGGUUUGAAUGAACAAGUCGAAGAAUAAAAUAGUUAUGAAAAUAAUUACAUGGAACCUGAAAUACUUUUAUUCAGCUAGUUUAUUAUAAAUGUUUGUGCAACUGUUUGUGAAUGUAGCGUUAUUUUAUAUAAGCGCCGGCUCUCGCAUAAUUUAAUGAAUUUGAAAAUUACAUCCUGUGUAUGUGUUUUCUUCACAUGGGAUGAUCCUUAUCUUAAAUAUUAUUGUUAAACUUUUAAUAAUAAUAAUUACAGGAAAAAAAUGUUCAAUACCAAACAAAUCUAGAUUAUGGUGAUGUCAAUGGUCAGCAACAUCAAGGUUUCUGUCCUUUUUAAUUUGAUUAUUUUUAUGUCGAUUAGCAUCAUGUAUUGGAAUGUCUAAGGGGCGGCCUCGUCUAAAUUUAGGCGCUCUUUUAAGACAGUUGUUAAAAAUUAUAACCCUUCUGAAACUCGUGUUAGUGGAAUUAAAACAUAUGAGUUUAUUAAGAAAAAUGGUUUUGAUCAUUCUCAUCGAGUUGAAGUAGUAGGCUUCUCUGGAGGAAUUUGACUCCUCUUGCGGAGUUUUAUAGAGGUGGAUGUGUUGUUUAAUCAUAGGUAAAUUAUUCAUUUUAGAAUUUGUAUGAAUAAUGUCUUUGUCUUGGGCAACAACUGUUUAUUCUAGCCCAAAUCCAAUGUUGUGGAGACAGUUAUGGAAUCAUAUGGAUAACCUUGCUCGUUCAAUUCAAAGUCUUUGGUUGAUUGAUAGGGAUUUUAACUCUAUUUUGUAUGCUUCUGAAAAACAUGGGGGCGUUGCAAGGCAUCAUGGAGUGUGUAGUUUGUUUCGACAGUGGUUUAAUGGGCAUAAAAUUUUUUAUUUAAAAUUUAAAGGUCAAUGGUUUACCUAGUCACGUGGAACUCUUCUUAAACGACCACUAAAGUUCGCGGAUAAUUAUGUUCUUCAUCUUCUGAAGGUUGCCUUAGAUCACAGGCCAGUGCUGGUUUGGUUUAAGGGAGCUGAUUACAAGAAACAAGUUAAUAUGCCUUUUCGGUUUUUGGCAUCUUGGUUAACUCAUGAGCAUUUUAACACAUUUGUAAAGCAGACGUGGGAUCCUAAUGUUCACUAUAAUACUACGUAAUAUUACGGCCUCUCAGUUUGUCCAUGCGGUUCAAGGUUGGAAUCGGGAUGUGUUUGGAAAUAUUUUUUAGCACAAAUGAAGGUUAAUGGCUCGGAUUAAUGGUAUUCAAGCAGCCUUAGAGAAUUAUAGCUUUAGAGGGCUGAUUCAAUUAGAGGCACAAUUACACAGUGAGUUGGAGGUAUUAUUAGCUGUGGAAUUAUGUGAGUUUGAGAAUGAGAUUGCAAUUAUACGAGAGUUUGUGGGUUUUUUUUUUCUCUUUCAACGUAAGGAAUUUAUGAUCUCUUAUGAUAAAAUAAUAACAUUAAGAAGGAAAUCAAACUUCAGUGUUUGAAAUUUGGAUCGGUAUACGUAGGGACAAUGAGCCAGCAGGUGGAGGACUUGUAAUAAUGAUGAAAAUUUCCAAGAAAAGGAAGGUGAAUGCGAAUAUCCCACUGGUGGAGUGGAGUUGAGAAUUCUCUCUACAUGUACCUACAGCUUUCAUGGAGUUUCAGCCUCAACUACAGUAUAUUAAAUCUUCCCUAUUAGUUCCAUUUUUUUUUUGUUUAAAGUCACAAGUUCUUCCACUACUUGAAAUCAUAAGCGACUCAUGAAACGGUCAAAAUCAGGACUAAAUUAAAGUUGAUCCCCAAGUGAAACACCACGGCUUUGGUGUGCAUAUAAUCGGUAUCAAAUUAUGAAAUGAUAAUUUUGAAGACUAUGUUGAUCCUUCACCGAAAUAUCAUUGCUAAUUUGGGUCAUAUUGAGUGACGAUGAUCUGUGUUUGUCACUCGGAGUAGGUAAUCGAUUCAGAAUCAAAUUAAACCUUGAAAGGAGUUGUUGGCGCAAUAAAGCAUGUAAUGGAAGCAGAACAAAUGCGUACCGAAAGUGGAAUAAAAACAAUUUAUCUAAUGUUAAAUCAAUUCUCGCAUUCUCUCUAAAGAAGCCAAUGGAUUUCCACAUUACAGACUUAUUUCGUUGACGUGUAUUGCUUCUGGUUCUUUGUUUUGAUUUUCUUGCGUUAUUACUUUUCUUCAAUGCCUCUAUGUGGUGUGAGGCUCAUUUUAUUUGUCCUAAUUAAUACGUUGUAUUAUUUGCUAUCAAAUCUUAAUAAAUUACCAGAUGAUUUAAUACACAAAAAAAAUUUAAUAAAUUACCAAUGUAUUAAGGUUUUAAAAAAACAACAAUUCUCGCAAACACACCAUUGCACCAGCCAGCUGUGGUGUAGCUCCUCCCUUACCAAACAAAAACAAAAUAAUAGAUAUUUUUUUAAAUUUAUUACUCAUUUACAAUUUUAACUAAUAUUAUAGAUCAUUUUAUUUACAAUUUUAGCGAAAGUGAAGAAUUAAAAAAAAAACAGUACCAAUUCAUUUGAGAUGAGAGAUUAUAAUAGAUUUGCAAGAGAAUAAGAGAUUUAAUAAUAAGUAGUGGCAAUUGGUUAAUAUUUAUACAAAAGAGCUUUGAUGCAAACAAUAAAAUUUUCUAUGCAAAUUAAUGUAAAGGGGGGGGGGGGCUUGCAAAUUGUCUAGAGAAAUAUAUCAUAUAUUAACACUUCAUAUAAAUAAUCAUCAACGAAUACGAUAGCUUAGACUGGCUCUACCUUAAUUAUUGCAACAACCCUAUGGGCUAUGAUUAUUAAGAGUCAUCAUUCAAAUCUCUUUCCCGAAAAGCGAUGUAAUGUUAUACAAUAUGGUAGCUUACAAAUACUUCUGUAAUAUUUGUUAUAGGAUCACGACAAAGCAGUGUCAAAAGCCAAUUUUUGUUUUUUUUUUUAAAUGGAGGAGCGAGAAAGCUUCAAGGGGAAAUGUAUUGGACGCUACUUUCUCAUUCGUUUCUUGUCAUAUGUAUGUUUUAAUUAAUUAUAAUAAUAUAUAAAUCCAAGUAACAAGUAUUGAACUAAUAAAGAACAAUGAUCAACAAGCACCUAAGACCUUCUCAUUAUUUCGAACCCUUAUAUUAUUAAUUUAAGUAUUUUUUCACCAUAUAUAAAAUAAGCACAUAGUUAGCUGGCUAUUCGACAAUCUGAUCAAUUGAUUUUCUUGAGCGAAAUUGGGAAAAAUUAUUGUUGACCCCUAUUUUUAGCAUAGCAUCCUAAUAUUUCAAAAAUACUCAAAACCCCAAGUCGUUGCAACAUUAAUGAAGUAUUAAAAGCGAAUAGAAGAGCUUUUUCAUGACCUUUAUCUACAAUGACAAAUUGAAAAUAAUAUGUGUACAUGCAUGAUUGCAUGUAUCGCAAAGUCAACUGGUGUAAUGUCAUUUCUUUGUGAAAUUUUCAAAAUCUAAAAAUCACAAUAAACAAGUGAAAGGAAAAGUCACAAUACAAUAGAUAUUUGUAUUGAAAAUACUAUUGAAGGAACAAAGAAUUAUGAGUUACAAUUCGAUGUCUCAUGCACUGUAUCCCAUUCAAAUUUCAUUGGGGAAAAAUUAAUAAAAGAGACAAUCAGUAGCUAGUAUAGGAUGAAAAAUCAGCCUUCCCAGCAGUACUUAUAACUGCUGUACGGCCAAGGCGGAUGACAUAACACUACAAUUAACAACAUUUAAAUGAAUUAAAAAAUAUAUAAUCCUUUGUGCUGGGCGAUUUAUAUUGUUCAAUUGGUGGCUUUUGCAACCUUUCCUUGCGGUGAUCUCAUGUCACGAAUCCGCUUCUCCUUAGAAAGAUCUUUUGCUAGUCUGCAAAAUUAAAUAAAUAAAAUAGAAAACAUGAAUUAGUAUAAACAUACACUAAUACACACAUGCAUUGAGAUACAUGCUAUCUGAUUAACAGUUACGUACCUUAUGAGAGCCUCGUCAUUAGUACCCUGACCACAUGGCUCACACAGUCCAGUUUCGAAAUUGACCUUUGUAACUGGUUUCUUCAGCAGUCUUUCACCAAUUCCCACAAGACUCUCGAGGUUCUUUUUGGUGGCAACAUCAACUGAAGCCUCGUCUCCAGUUAGUGUAUCAUCCUGGAUGCGAAGAUAACCGUUUUCAGAAUGAAGGGCUUUAAAAGCAGUGGAAAUGUGAAAGUCCGUCAUGUCGCUGCUUGAUUGCAUGAACACAU
rnacentral:lncRNA from 1 species